AACGAACGCUGGCGGCAGGCCUAACACAUGCAAGUCGAGCGGACCCUUCGGGGUUAGCGGCGGACGGGUGAGUAACGCGUGGGAAUAUGCCCUUCUCUACGGAAUAGUCCUGGGAAACUGGGGGUAAUACCGUAUACGCCCUUUGGGGGAAAGAUUUAUCGGGGAAGGAUUAGCCCGCGUUGGAUUAGGUAGUUGGUGGGGUAAUGGCCUACCAAGCCGACGAUGCAUAGCUGGUUUGAGAGGAUGAUCAGCCACACUGGGACUGAGACACGGCCCAGACUCCUACGGGAGGGAGGAGUGGGGAAUCUUAGACAAUGGGGGCAGCCCUGAUCGAGCCAUGACGGGUAAGUGAUGAAGGCCUUAGGGUUGUAAAGCUCUUUCAGCUGGGAAGAUAUUGACGGUACCAGCAGAAGAAGCCCCGGCUAACUCCGUG
rnacentral:rRNA from 1 species